UGCAAAUGAUGUUUUCUCACGAUGGUCUUCUGACAUAUUGUCAUGGUGACACUGCCUUUUGGCAAGUACUGAUGCAGUUAC